AUGAGGCCACGACUAGGCACAGACAUCCCCCGCCCCGAACUCUCUUCCCCAAACUACCCAUCCCAUCUCUCGCGAGAAAAAUUCCCUACCGCCGUCCAGAUCGGAGAUCACCUCGGCCUCCUCCACCACGCGCCCGCUUCCUCCCAUGGUCGUGUCCUCCCGACCCACCCUCCUCUUCGCUCACCACGCCGGCGCAGGCGGUCACGCGGGCGUCCAUUGAUCUGCAACUCUCACCGCCUUCAUAACGCUCAAGCGCCGCCCACGGAUAGACGAUGGCUUCAGCCGUGUCAACGAGGUCGAGGAGUCCCUUGA
rnacentral:rRNA from 1 species